AGACAUUCUUACUAUAUUGGAUGGGGAUUUAAAGAAGCUUUGGAAGCUCUUCAGCACUGCGGAGGAGGUCACACAGGGAAAAAGUUUUUCUAAUUGGCAAUCAGAGCUUUCAAAUAUAUGGCCAGAUGUUAACAAAAAGCUUCCGGAGGACGUUCUUGGCCUGCUGCGUUUUUUGCGCAACAAACUAGUGCAUACAAAAGAAUUUAAAGA